GACGAACGCUGGCGGCGUGCCUAAUACAUGCAAGUCGAGCGCAGGAAAUCGACGGAACCCUUCGGGGGGAAGUCGAUGGAAUGAGCGGCGGACGGGUGAGUAACACGUAAAGAACCUGCCCUCAGGUCUGGGAUAACCACGAGAAAUCGGGGCUAAUACCGGAUGGGUCAUCGGACCGCAUGGUCCGAGGAUGAAAGGCGGUCCGGCGUCGCCUGGGGAUGGCUUUGCGGGGCAUUAGCUAGUUGGUGGGGUAAUGGCCCACCAAGGCGACGAUGCAUAGCCGAACUGAGAGGGUGAUCGGCCACACUGGGACUGAGACACGGCCCAGACUCCUACGGAGGCAGCAGUAGGGAAUCUUCCACAAUGGACGAAAGUCUGAUGGAGCAACGCCGCGUAAACGAUGAAGGCCUUCGGGUCGUAAAGUUCUGUUGUAAGGGAAGAACAAGUGCCGCAGGCAAUGGCGGCACCUUGACGGUACCUUGCGAGAAAGCCACGGCUAACUACGUGCCAGCCGCCGCCGUAAUAC
rnacentral:rRNA from 1 species